rnacentral:pre_miRNA from 1 species
AAAAAAGUAAACCCUGAAUUUUCGUGUCCAACUUUGACUGUCCGUCUUAUAUAAAAUUUUUUUAUAAUUCGUAUUUUCGUUGUUGUUAAAUGAUAAAACAUGAUUAAUAUUUUAUGCGUGACUUGUCUUUUUAAUUUUUUUCAUAUUUUUUUCAAAUAAGACGGACGGUCAAAUAUUGGACACGGAAACCAGGGUUUGCCUUUUUU